UGUCAGAGCCUUUGGUUAUGACAUCUGUCACCCCCACUGAUGGCCAGGGUUGAUUAGACUGGUUGGCUAGGUGAAUGCCAGUUUCUCCUCACUGCUCCAUGUGUGUUCCUCCAGAAGCUGUGCACUCAGUUGAAGAGUCCUUCCCUGAGAGAGGAGGACCGAUCUUCAGUCAAGGCUAGACCAGUAACUGCAAUCUGCAAAAGCCUCUACACAAGCUCUAAGGUCUGAAUGGACAGGAGCUUGUGUGAAACAAGCCCUGAAGAAUCACCAAACUGAAUGUU
rnacentral:snRNA from 1 species